rnacentral:lncRNA from 1 species
AAAGUUUUGGAUGCAAGUACAUAGUUUAUUUGGGAAAUCAAGCCAAGUCUGAGAAACUCCAGAAGAAGAUAAGGACCUGAGGCAUGGAAGGGAAAAAAUCAAGAGGGUGCAUAGUGAAGCCAAUUACCAAAGAGGGAAAGUGGAGCUCAAUCCUGUUGGCAAAAUCUGGGAAACACUACAGAAGAUACCUUAGAGAAAUAAGAAUAUGGCAAUUGGACCUGAAGGAAAAUGAUGUCUCUACAAUUAAUCAUCAUAGGGUUUGGAAGGCCCAAGAAGAAAACUAGGUGAGUUUUACUUAGUCCUAAUUAUAUGAGUCCUAGAAAUUAAAUGUUGUAGUGAUAAUGAAAGGUCUGUUCAUGUUGUACAACUACAAGAUGUAACAGGUAACUACUCAUACAUGGGAAUAGAUUUACCAAGGUUGGGCUUAAAGGCAUAUGAUUCUUUGGCCUAGAAACUUGGCCAAGAGAGAUUAAGAUUGUGAUGAGGA